UGCCCCCUCGUUCAAUGGUAGGACAGUCGGCUCUGAACCGAUCAAUCGGGGUUCGAAUCCCUGGGGGGCAGCCA
rnacentral:tRNA from 2 species